rnacentral:rRNA from 1 species
CGAACGCUGGCGGCAGGCCUAACACGUGCAAGUCGAGCGAGGACUUCGGUCCUAGCGGCGGACGGGUGAGUAACGCGUGGGAAUAUGCCCAAAGGUACGGAAUAGCCUCGGGAAACUGGGAGUAAUACCGUAUGUGCCCUUCGGGGGAAAGAUUUAUCGCCUUUUGGAUUAGCCCGCGUUGGAUUAGGUAGUUGGUGGGGGUAAUGGCCUACCCAAGCCGACGAUCCAUAGCUGGUUUGAGAGGAUGAUCAGCCACACUGGGACUGAGACACGGCCCAGACUCCUACGGGAGGCAGCAGUGGGGAAUCUUAGACAAUGGGGGAAACCCUGAUCUAGCCAUGCCGCGUGAGCGAUGAAGGCCUUAGGGUUGUAAAGCUCUUUCAGCUGGGAAGAUAAUGACGGUACCAGCAGAAGAAGCCCCGGUUAACUCCGUG